GAACAUUCCAGAGGAGUCGCGAACGAUCAAGCGAUAAGUUAUCGCGAUGAAUACCGCGAAGAAAGCUAUGAUUUCAGCAAUUUUAGCAUCAAAUUAUUAAAAUUUAAUUAGAAUGGACACAAUCCAGAAAUGGUAAAGAUUCCUUCUGGAAAGGGCCAGUAUGUCUGGGUGGGAGACAAGAAUUGUUUCCUGGAGCAGAUGGCAUGUUGUCAAGAUUAGCAUUGCUAUGCAAACUUUAUUCAUGCCAGAACUUAAUAAAAAUUCAUUUAGCUUGCCAUAAUUAAAUUUUGGAUUGAAGUAAACAGCAUUACUGAUGACAUGAAAGGAAAAUGAUACUGCUAGUCAAGCAGCCACAGAAAAGAAAAAAAGACAAUGUUCCAAGGGAGACUAUCAUUCCUCUCAAUUUAGUGGUUGCCCUUACUCAAGGAAAAAUAUUCUGGAAUGUUCUCUGGACUGGAAAUCCAUGCUUAUUAGAAAGGCCAAUAGCAAUGGACAAUCAGGACUGAUGGACUGAUGAUGAGGAGGAUUUCGUGUAUGAUGCCAACCUAUACCUUUGGACAUAGAUAAGGAUUUAUUUAUUGGCUCAGAGACAUUUGACUUCACGACAGGCAUUACCUAAUCGACAAAUACCAAUCACACUCGCACCCAUACUUGCAGAUGCUACUGCUCGCACUGUUGUUUAUACAAAAAUAUAGUGAAGAUUUAGUCAUCUAAAGCGGCCCAAUGCUCCUCAAGGGAGCAACAAAGAAUAAACUAAACUAAACUUAGUCUUUUAAAACAGAAGACACAAAGCAAAAGAAAAAAUAAUCAGGCCUAUAAUUGUGUCGCCAUGCUUCCUGAGACAUAAAGUUGAUUAAGAGAGCGUUUGAUCCAUCAGAAGAUAUAGGUGCGAACGCACCUCUCACACGCACACACACACACAAAAUCCACGAAAUAGUCACAAAGAUGUAAAAUGAAGAACAAUGUGAAGACUCAUAACGCAUAAGCAUACUCAUAUAUUGAUAAUUUUAGUGCACAUCACUACCAGAAUCUCUAUAAACAGUUACGCAUUUAAUCUCGAGUACAUUGCAGUCCAUUAAAGAACAAAUGAAAACUAACUCUACUGUGAAUGUGAGAUAGACUCACUACUGAUAGUUGUCAUAGAGCAUGUUUUUAAGCUGCUAACCAAAUGCAGUUUUUGAAAUGAAAUAGUUGAUGAUAGAAUACAGGUAUUUAAUGACGGAUGGAUUUUACAAAAUGGGCCACAAGUGCUUCUCCACAAUAGUACCUUGUUGAUUACUUAACAUUUGCCAUGCAUAUUGAAUUGUAUUGUGAUCAUUAUUUGAGACCUCAUUAGUGCUUAUUUUUCUGAUGAGAGACCAGUACCAACAUUAACAUCCUACAUUGUUUGCAACCAAUGAGUGACUCAUUAUAUGACAAAGCAUACUUCUAACACAAGUGUGUCGCAGGCAGAAAAGUCUUAAAUGAAUCUGGAUGAGAAAACAAAAUCAAGAAGGUGAAAUUUUAUCAAGUUGGCAUGAAAUAUAAUUAUGCAUAUUUAAAAUUUCCCGGAGUGUUAGAUAUUUAUUUCACAGAAACUUAUAUCGCAGGCAAAACCUGUUGAUUCUGCAAAUAGACUAUUAUUAAACUUAAA